rnacentral:rRNA from 1 species
AGAACCUGAAACCGUGUGCUUACAAGUAGUCAGAGCCCGUUAAUGGGUGAUGGCGUGCCUUUUGUAGAAUGAACCGGCGAGUUACGAUUUGAUGCAAGGUUAAGCAGUAAAUGUGGAGCCGUAGCGAAAGCGAGUCUGAAUAGGGCGUUUAGUAUUUGGUCGUAGACCCGAAACCAGGUGAUCUACCCUUGGUCAGGUUGAAGUUCAGGUAACACUGAAUGGAGGACCGAACCGACUUACGUUGAAAAGUGAGCGGAUGAACUGAGGGUAGCGGAGAAAUUCCAAUCGAACCUGGAGAUAGCUGGUUCUCUCCGAAAUAGCUUUAGGGCUAGCCUCAAGUGAUGAUUAUUGGAGGUAGAGCACUGUUUGGACGAGGGGCCCCUCUCGGGUUACCGAAUUCAGACAAACUCCGAAUGCCAAUUAAUUUAACUUGGGAGUCAGAACAUGGGUGAUAAGGUCCGUGUUCGAAAGGGAAACAGCCCAGACCACCAGCUAAGGUCCCAAAAUAUAUGUUAAGUGGAAAAGGAUGUGGCGUUGCCCAGACAACUA